rnacentral:rRNA from 1 species
UGGGGAAUUUUGGACAAUGGGCGAAAGCCUGAUCCAGCAAUGCCGCGUGUGUGAAGAAGGCCUUCGGGUUGUAAAGCACUUUUGUCCGGAAAGAAAUCCUUGGCUCUAAUACAGUCGGGGGAUGACGGUACCGGAAGAAUAAGCACCGGCUAACUACGUGCCAGCAGCCGCGGUAAUACGUAGGGUGCAAGCGUUAAUCGGAAUUACUGGGCGUAAAGCGUGCGCAGGCGGUUUGCUAAGACCGAUGUGAAAUCCCCGGGCUCAACCUGGGAACUGCAUUGGUGGCUGGCAGGCUAGAGUAUGGCAGAGGGGGGUAGAAUUCCACGUGUAGCAGUGAAAUGCGUAGAGAUGUGGAGGAAUACCGAUGGCGAAGGCAGCCCCCUGGGCCAAUACUGACGCUCAUGCACGAAAGCGUGGGGAGCAAACAGGAUUAGAUACCCUGGUAGUCCACGCCCUAAACGAUGUCAACUAGUUGUUGGGGAUUCAUUUCCUUAGUAACGUAGCUAACGCGUGAAGCUGACCGCCUGGGGAGUACGGUCGCAAGA